UAAACUUUUAUAUAGUUUUUAUUGUGUGUCAGAUACACUUAAGCACUAGUAAAUGUUUAACCCUCAGGAUGAUAAGAGGAGAUAUUAUAGUUUACAGAUGAGGAAACUGAGGAACAGAAAGGUUAAGUGAAUUGCUCAAGGUCACACAGCUAGCAAGGAUUUGAACCCAGGCUUCACCAUCUGUGCCCACAACUACAAGGGGACACUUCCACAAUGAUAAGCAUCUUUCACAGGUGACUGGUGUCUCCAUUUUUGGACACAGAGCCAGGUGGCAUCUGCAGACACCCCAGUGGCUUUGACUGAGGAAGAGGAGGCGUGAGUGGACACGGCCGUGAGUGAGGGGCUUCUCUUAGGCAGUUCCUGCUGGGGUCGCCCCCACCAAAGCCAGAUCAGAAGUUGGCCCCAGCAACCUUGGCCCUUGGCUCUCCGCCUAGGACUGAGACUUUGAGCCCCUGCAGCCUGGUGCACACAUCUUUACAAAGGGGAGUCUGCCGUGUACCCCGUAUUCAUCAGCGAGGCUGCCAAGCACAAGAAAGGCACUGCCUUCAUCCAGACAGAGACACUCACGUUCUCCGCGCCUCCCCUGCCCGCCCUGGCAUCCAGCCCCACCCUGGGUCCCUAACCCAGGCCACACCUGCCCAGCCUUAGCCCUCUCUUCUUUUUUCUUUUCUUUUAAGGGCCACACCUGCAGCAUGUGGACGUUCCCAGGCUAGGGUUCCAAUCAGAGCUGCACCUGCCGGCCUGCACCACAGCCACAGCAAUGCCAGAUCCGGGCCACAUCUGUGACCUGCAUCGCAGCUCAUGGCAAUGCCAUGAGUGAGGCCAGGAAUCGAACCUGCAUCCUCAUGGAUAUUAAUCAGAUUCUUAAGCUGCUGAGCCACAACAGGGACUCCUCAGCCUUCUCUUCUGAACAGUCCUGAGACACGCUUUCAAGCCCAGGCACCCUCUUUACCACCCACUGUGUCCUGUGUUUCUUGCCACAUCCAGAGACCUCUGGGCCUCAGGUUCCUAUUCUAUAAGGCGGAAGAUGUCCAGGGCCCGUGGUUCAUGUCUUCUGUCCUGCAUGGCCCCUCUCUGUGACCUCAGGAUCUGAGGCAGGGUGGUCUGGGACAUGCUGUGUGUCCUGGGGCCCAUGAUAGCUGUCUCUGGGCCCAUGAUUUUUCAUCAGGGCCCAGGGAGGAAGAUCCCACAGGGUUGAGAGAGGACUUGGAGAAAGACUGUCUGGGGCCAGUCGAGGAGAUUCCAGAGGAGCCAUGACCCAGAGGAGGGCCCCAACCCCACCUGCGUUCCCAGGGCAGAGUCGCUCUGAGAGAGUGCGUGUGGGUGUCUAGGCGUGUGCCCACCCCAAGUGCUGUGUGCAUGUGUGUGUGUGCACACACGUGUUCCUGAGAGCCUCAGUACCUUGGGCCUUCUUCUGGAGGGGUCCAUAUGUGGCUGGAGGUGCAGCCCAGAGGUGCGUUUCCGGAUGCAUCACGAGCCCAGGGCCUGGACGCAGCCUCACACUUCCCAUGCCCAACCUGGCAGCAUCGCUCCUUCCUGACAGCAGGGCUGGUGGAGCCCAGAGCUCGUCCUCACUGGUCGUCGCUCCCUGUCCGCCCCCCACCGCCUGGCCCAUCCAUCUCCCCGCGGCCAUGGCUGCCACGCGGCCUCCCGCUAUUGAGCAGCGAGAUGAAAAGGUGUGAAGAAUAUGGGGGCACCAGGGACAGGCUGGCAGGCAAGAUGGAUGAGGGGCCAAGGAGCCAGGAGGCGCCUCCGGCAGGAAGGGCCGUUCAGCUGGGGAGGAGUCUGUAAAGGGCACGCCACUGUGCGUGGUGUGUGUGUGUGUGUGUGUGUGUGUGUGUGUGUGUAAGACAGAGCAGCGUGUUUCUGUGCACAGGAGCGGUGGCAGGUCAUAAGGCCUCGAGAUCGUGUAUGCAGGUGGCUGGCAGGUCAGCGUGCUCAUGUCCAUGAUGGGGGGUUCCCGUCAGGCAGACCAAAGGCGUGUGCAAGCGCACACACACACACAUGCACACACACAUCAGGAGCCAUAACAGGACCCUGGGCUCCUGGACUGGCACGGAGCCCUCUCUAUCAUCUCUCCUAUUUUCCACCUGCCCCGCUGUGCAUCCUGGGACAAGGUGGCCUGGCUCCACCUCCAUGAGUGGUGCUCCUGGGAGCCGCUGGGACCCUCCAUUACAAGCACAGAGAAUGCCCCCGAUCUUGCCCAGCAGCAGACCCCAGGGCUGGCGAGGCCUUGCUCCACAGCAGGGCGUGGGUCUGUGCCACCCCCAUCUGUGGGAUUCCUCCCAGCUGGGCAGGCAGGGGCCUGGGGCUCCAGGGGCUGAAGCAGCAGACCUCCCUGAGCUGGAGGUGGGGGUGGCCUGCCCCCCUCCCACCUGUGCCUAUGUGCCCAGUAGGGAUGGGCAUCUGCCAACCCCACUUCCCUAGCGCCAGACUCUGGAGGAAAUGGGGGGUUCUAGCUGACUUUGGGGACCCCAGCCCGCUGUGCUCCCACCUAGCACUCCAACCUGGGGGCCAGCCUGCAGUGCUCCCUCCUGGAGUGGGCUAGGCUGGGAUCCAGCCUGAUGACCUGCCCUGGGCCACAUGGCAGCAACCAGCUUCCGGGGACCCCCUCCUCUGCCUUCCCAACCCGCCAUCUGGGCGUCCCCUAGCAUGUCCAGCCCCAGCCAGGUCAGGCUGGACAGAACAGACAGACCCGUGGGCAGAGCAGACAUACCCAGAGGCGUCUGCCCAGGGCCGGUCUCCCACCCUGUGGGCACUAUGCAGACACGGUCUGCCAGGAUGGGGACAGCUUGCCGCUGCCCAGGCUGGGCCAGCCCCUCCCAGGCAGGAGCGAGGAUGCACUUGGUUCAGUUGGGGAAACUGAGGCAGGGGGACGGUCGGGGUCCUGCCAGCGGUGAAGAGGUCAUUGGAGCACAGGGCUUCCUGCCUGCCGGGCGGGGUUUCUGCCUCUGUUAGUACUUGCUGCUAUGGCCCCCUGGGCUCUCCUGCCCAAACUCCCCGGCAAUUCCCCACCAGCAGCCCCAGGUCAGGGUUCUGAGCCCUGGUGAGAGGGCACCGCCUCUGCCAUUGAAUCCUCUGUGCUCCUGCCACUACUGUGACCCCCAUCUUCCCUGAGGCCCUGUCAGCCAGGCCUGGGUCCCUGAAGAUCACCCAGCCUGUCCUGGAGAUGGGCCCCCGCCCUGCGCCUGGGCCCAUUGAUCAGGAAUGGGCUGGGGGCUCCUAGCCGGGAAGGGGAGGAAGCUGGGAGGGGAGAGGAGGCUUGGCCACGUCAGAGCCUUCCCACCUGCCCUCCUCCCGCACAGCAUCGCGCCUGGAGUGGACCAGCCCUGCCAGUGGCCUCGCACAGUCCAGUCUGAGGGUGGCUUGGAGAAGGGGCUGCGCACACCCAGUGCCGGGGGUCCCCCUGCAGAGACCAGAGAACCAAGACCUGGGCGAUCGAGAGGGAAGGACAGUCCUGCCAAGAGACUGGAGACCGUGUAAGGGCCUGAGAGCUAAGCUGUGCUGCCGAAUGGCUCGGGAGACCAGGAGAGGCUGACCGCCCCUCCCGGCAGGCGGAGGCCCCAGCUGAGAAGCCCUGCUCCAGGAGCCAGACGUCCAGAACGUCCCCAUGGCAGGUAAGGGGCUGGAAGACGGGGCAGCCCCAUGGGUGGGCUCAGGAUCCAGGGUGAGGGGGGCAGGGCAGGGACCAGGCUUGGGGACCAAGGAAACCCCGCUAGACCCAGGACCUGGGCAAGAGGAGGGGUCAGGGGCACCCCAGGCUGAGGACUCAGAUCCCGCCAGGGUGGGGCUGAUCGGCUCACAGCCACCCAAGUGCAAAUGUGGGGGUGUUCCCAGGCAGGGGGACAGAGCCACAUCUGAGAGGUGAAAGUCUUAUCAGGCAUGGGUGAUCUUGAGCCUGGCCCCUCCCAUCUCUGAGCCUCACCCCUUGAGUGUCAAGGUGGGGGCUGGACAAGGAGCCUCUAACUUCCCCUCCAGACCUGAUUCAUGGCCUGUGGGAAACUCACCUCCUUCCCCUAGAGAUGCUGACUUUUAGAGGAACCAGGCAGAGGGCAGGCCCCUCCCCAGCGUUACUGAGGGCGCUCAGGGGUGGCACACGGACCAGGAUGGGCAGGGCGAGGGCUCAAAGAAGACUUGGGAGCCGGUGACCAGCCUGUGAAGCCUGCAGACCCAGCAAAGACAUGAGCCUCUCCUCUGGGACCCAUCACCAUGAUCUGGGCUGGCAUCAGUUACCUGGAUGAUGUGACUGCCCCCAGCAGGACGGCUGAAUGAUGGGCAGCUGCCCAUCUGACGGCCAGGUCCCAGGCGGUGGGGGCCUCAGCCCAUCCACCCUUCGUGCUCCUCUUGCAGAUUUGGACCCAGUAUGGCCCCUUCUCUCAGCGAGACCCACCCACCCCC
rnacentral:lncRNA from 1 species